CCUAAAGGACACAACAUUAUUGACCAAUGGAAGGAAGCCCUCAAGCAUCAAAGACCCACAAGAAAUUUAGUUGGGAACUGAACAUUCAUCUCGCAGCCCCAACUUCAAACCGUAAGGAAUCUGAAUGCUUGCCAGAGUUCCUGAUUUGCUGCCUUGCCAUGUGGCCUGUGAGAGCAGAGGCUGCACAACAGCUUUCCAUAACAGGAAGUUCUGUGGCUUGUUUGGGAGUUGGAAUAAGAGAGAGAAUCCCAUUUGCUGGUUUACUCCUUAAAUGCCUACAGCAGCUUGCCAAAGCCAGGAGCCAAGAACUCAAUCCAAGCCACAUCUGUAGGCAUCAGGACUCCAAAUAUUUGAAUUAUCACCUGCCACCUCCUAUGGUGUGCAUUAUCAGGAAGAUGGAAUAGGAGCAGAGCUGGGCCUGGAAUCUGCACCAGAAAUGGAAUGUGGUCAUCCCAAGCAACACUUUAACUGUUGUAUCAGCUGCCUCCCCUUUGUUGCAGUGUUUUCCACCUGCUCAUGGAUACAGAGCCCACGGACACUGAAGGGCAGCUUUAUUCACUCAAUUGUGCAUUUCAAUCUGUAAUUGCUGCAGACAUUUAGGAAAGAAUGAGAUCUGAGUGGACUGAAGUCUGGGGGAGGAUUGUGUGG